AGUAACACGUGGACAACCUGCCUCAAGGCUGGGGAUAACAUUUGGAAACAGAUGCUAAUACCGAAUGAAACUUAGUGUCGCAUGACACGAAGUUAAAAGGCGCUUUGGCGUCACCUAGAGAUGGAUCCGCGGUGCAUUAGUUAGUUGGUGGGGUAAAGGCCUACCAAGACAAUGAUGCAUAGCCGAGUUGAGAGACUGAUCGGCCACAUUGGGACUGAGACACGGCCCAAACUCCUACGGGAGGCUGCAGUAGGGAAUCUUCCACAAUGGGCGAAAGCCUGAUGGAGCAACGCCGCGUGUGUGAUGAAGGCUUUCGGGUCGUAAAGCACUGUUGUAUGGGAAGAACAGCUAGAAUAGGGAAUGAUUUUAGUUUGACGGUACCAUACCAGAAAGGGACGGCUAAAUACGUGCCAGCAGCCGCGGUAAUACGUAUGUCCCGAGCGUUAUCCGGAUUUAUUGGGCGUAAAGCGAGCGCAGACGGUUGAUUAAGUCUGAUGUGAAAGCCCGGAGCUCAACUCCGGAAUGGCAUUGGAAACUGGUUAACUUGAGUGCAGUAGAGG
rnacentral:rRNA from 1 species